rnacentral:lncRNA from 1 species
UCUCCUCCACCGAAAAUGGCAGAAAAGAGAGGAGUUUUGAAGCUUUGAAAUAUCAGCCACUUACAUCCCUUGCUAGUAAGUGAUUUUUAAUGUCUUUCUUAAUGAUUUUUACAUUUUUGGAACCCCUAAAGCAUAAGCUUUCAUAUGAGGGGUCUAUUUUGCAAAAUGAUGAAGAGUCUAGGGUUUUGCCAUGAGAGUAAAUGUGUUGUUUGCUGUGUUUUUAUGGAAGAUUAUGAGUCCUAGUUGUCUAAUAAACAACUUUUGUGAAAGAAAUUGCAUGAAAAACCUUAAAAAGGGCUAGAUUGCUAAGUUGUAAAAUGAGUUGUAAAUGUGUGAAAUAGUUGAAAUUAUGAGUUGCUAUAGUUAUGAAAAUGGUUCAUCUAGACUCAAGGAGUAAAGAAAUGUGAUAAAAAUUAUUUUACGAGCCUAGGGGUAAUUUGGUAAUUUUGGCAAAAUUGUAAAAAUUGCUCAAGUGUGUCAAUGGACUAAUUUGAUCAGUACAUUGUUUUAAUAAGUUGAAUGUGAUAUUUUAGAUGAUGAAAAUUGAGAUUUGGACCUAGAACGGAAAGAAAUCGAUUAAAGGAUAAUUACGUCUUUUUUUUCACCUUUGCGGUAUCAAGGUAAGUUCAUAUGUAAAUGUUGGUAAUAUAGUUAUUAUUUUAAAUGUUUUGAUGUUACUUAAAUGAUAUGAUAAUUAUUAUGAGAUAUUAUACUUGUGAUAAUUGUUUGAUAAUAUGUCAAAUUAUAUGAUAUACUUGGAAAAUGUGAAAUACUAUCGAGUAUUGGUAUCGGCAUUCCGUAGAAGAUGGUUGAGACUCAUGAUUGGGAAAAAGGUCCCGUUGAACCUUAGGAAUAGAUUAGGAUACAAGUGACAUGUCACUGGAAUAUUUGGGCAUCCGAGCUCGUUGAGUUGAGUCCGAGUUCACUUAUGGAUGCGAAUGUUCGAACUCGUUGAGUUGAGUCCGAGUUCGUGAGAUGAGUCCGAGUUCACUUAUGGAUGCGAACGCCCGAGCUCGUUGAGUUGAGUCCGAGUUCACUUAUGGGCGGGUUACAUGGUAGCUUGGCUAUAUAUGUGGCACUUAUGUGCAAACUUUCCAUGUAUCCGAAUUAUAUUCCGAUGUGUUCAAUGGGUAAAAUUCUACUCAAAUGGAGGAAUACUCGAGAUGAAAGGGACGUAUUGAUAAAUGUUGUGAAAUGGAUACUUUGAACAGGUAUGUACUUAACCCUCGGGUUGAAAACUCGACAUAACAAAAAAAUGGUAAGAUGUUAAAUGAAAAUGUGAUAUGAAUGUCUCGGUGAUGAUUAUACAAAUGAUGUUGUAUUAAUUUUGUGAACAAUGAUCAUGAAUGAGUAAUUUAGCCUUGACAGAUUUGAGUUACUGCAGUAGUGUAACUUUGAAAAUACACUAAAAAUAGUGGAAAAUGAGUUAGAGGCAGAAUAGAAUGUAGGAUUAAAGCUUAAUGAGUCUAUUUUCACAUGAAAGAAACAGGGGAAGAAAAAGAAUUCCAUAUUGUUUGAUAUUUGAAUUCUUGUGAAACAGGGUCUGAAUGAAUUCGAGAUCCCUUGUUCUGACUUUAUAAAUUCACCAAAAAUUGUACAAAAAUUAUUAAGAGUCAUACCUUAUAUGCAUGGAUUCCUUAUUGAUUCUAUUUUUAGGGGAAAUAAACGGUAUGGUCGUUGGAAUUCUGUACAGGGAGAAAUUCGGUUUGUAGUGCACAGGGGUCAGAGUGGUCAUACCCUGAAACAGGGGAGACUUUAACUAAUAAACUGUACUAAUUGGCCCAACCAAAAAUUCUAUAAAAAAAUUAAUAAGUAUACAUAUGAGUCUAGUUUCAAGAGAAAUAGACGAGAACAUUAUUCGAGUCUUGUACUAUGAGAUAAUUGAACUUUAGUACAGAAGGGUCGGAACUAUCAGACAGUGAAUCAGGGGUAACUUUGAGGAAUAAACUGUACUAUUUGGCUUAACCAAAAAUUCUGGAAAUUUUAUGGAAGAAAUUAAAAUAACUCUAGUUUCAUGGAAAAUUAACGAAACUUAAUUCGGAGUUUCGUAGCUCCAGAUAUAAAUAAUUUAGUGACUAUUGCUCAGAAAGACAACUUGUAGUGAACUUGAGAAUAUGUUGUAAACAUUGAUAAAACAAGUUAAUGAGUUGCUUAUUGUUUUCAUAUGAACUUACUAAGCGAAAGCUUACCCCCCUUCUUUCCCAUGUUUCCUAGGGUUUCUAGGUUAGCUCGGGUUGGAGUUCGUCGGAGAUAUUAUCACACUGUCAAGCUAACGUUAUUGGUGUAGUGAUUUCAAGUACUUUGAGCCUAUGGCAUGUAGAGGAGUUUAAAUAUUAGAGUAUGUGAUAUGACUUUAGCCAUAUGUGUUGGCCUAUUUUGAUUAUGGGGUUGUAAAUCCAUUUUAAUUAUGCAUGCAUGUGCUAUGGUAUUAUGUGAUGAGUUUAUAAUGAUUAUAGCAUGAAUGUGGUAAAGAUGUGAGUAAAUCUAUGGUAUCUAUUGCAUGUGAAAUUGUCAUAAUCAUGACAUGUUAGGAAUGUUUAAGUACCUAAUUUUGCCAUGUUGUAUGUUAUUGUAUAAGUAUGUGUGCAUCUAUUGUGAGUGUGACAAAUGUGUGCAUCUGUUGUGAGUGUGACAAAAUGGCUUGGAAAAUAGCCUUGCAUUUGUCUAGGUUUUUGGACACGGGUUCGGGACACGGGCAUGUCCCUAGCACACGGGCGUGUCCCUAGCACACGGGCGUGUGCUCUAUACCCACACGGGCGUAUGAAGCCUUGAUGCAAGAGAUUUUCUAAGUUUUUCAUGAGUUCUCGGUUGGGUCCCGAACCACUCCAGAUGUAUGUUUUGGGACUCGUAAGCCCGUAUAUGGGACAAAUUGUAUGUGAAAAGAAAAAUUUUCAAUUAUUUGAGAUUUCAUGGCCCUGUUUAGUAUAGAAGUGUUAGUAAAAGUCAGGUAGCACCUCGAACCCCGUCCCGGCGUCGGAUGCGGGCGAGGGGUGUUACAAUAGGAUUGAAAGUGUUCAGGGAUACUUCGAAUUCGAGUCGAUCAGACACUAUGUGUCAUAUUAUUAUUGCUUCGGAUAAAUUCGAUGAGGUACUAAGUAUUGUAUUGUUUUACUUUGGCAUGGCUGAUGAGGCACUGAGUGCCGUACUGGUGUGUUUGUGUUGGAUCCGCAUAUCCGUCGAAAUCCGAAUUGUGUUAAUAGGGACAUAUAAAUGAAUUGAUCAAAUGAUUAAAAUUGAAUAAUAUUGAAUACGAAAUGGAUAUUGAUAUUGAAAUUGAAAUUGAGAAAUUUAUUGUGAAAUGCUAUUGAAUAGCAAUUGUGAGAAUGAAAUAGAAGAUAUGAUGAGUUUAUGGAAUUGAUUAUUUAUUGAAUGAGUUUUAUUAUGUAUGAUUAUGUAUAUAAAUAUUAUAAACUUUUUAUUAAGUUUAUACUAAGUUUAUACUCGACAUACAGUUGUUUUCAUGCACAGGUUUGGGCAAAGUUCAAUUGUUGAAUUAGCUUGCAAAGUCGAUCCCGAACUCAAAUCACGUGGUGAAGGAUUUUUUUUUUUGAAAAUGGCAUGUACCUAGGUUGUCUUUUAAUGCCAUUUAGAUAUGUGAAUAUUAAUGAUGUAUAAGAUGAUAUUGGUUGAUC